UGCCCGUCUUCCCUGCGACGGUUUUGGGGUGGAACAGGAGUGGCUCCUCAGGGGGAAAUGAAAGGAACUGAGGAGCUCCAGUCGUGAGAAGGCCAAUGAAGCAGGUAGCUUCUCUGCGCCGGGGUUGUGCUGAGAUGUCAUCUAGGGCCGGCUCUUCCAGAACCUCAUUUGACGCUGGGAGGCAGCGACCGGGUGUGGGGGCGGGGUGGUAGGGGAGGGGAGCAGGGAUGAUGCGGUCCCGAUUCCGUCCCCAGGGGGCGCUGGGACCCUCCCUGCUAUCCAGGCUACACCUGUGCGGCGUAGCAGCCGUCCCCGUCUCGCCUGCACAGCGCCAGAUGACAGCAGCCCAGAGGCUGUCCUCUGCCACCUGCACUGCUCACCUUUUCCGAGGAGGUCGGGGACGGGGCUGAAGGGUCCCCCGGGCAGGUUCCAGGCCAGGUCCUCUAGCAGGCCCAGCAGGCCUUUCACCUGUGUCCCCAGGUGAUCCACGGUCUUCUCUACCAUCUAGAGUGAGAAGGUGGGUAACGUCCAGGACAGGAGUGGUGCCACGUUCUGCUUCAUUAGCCAGGUCCUAAGAAGCAGCUGGCGGUCCAGUGGGGUGCAGUGGAAAAGGACUGGGAGCUGCGGGACCUGGGUUUUCCUCACUCAGGCUCUGCGCCUACCUGCCUCAAUCUCCCCAGAUGACAAUAUCCUAUGGGGCUCGCUCUCUAAGGCUCCUUCCUUUUUGGCACUCAGUCACAGGUUUGGAUAAAGCGCGUGUAGAUUACCUUCUCCCUUUUGGACUUUGCAGCCUGGAGCUCACAUUCUUUUUGUUAUUCUGCUCCCUGGUGGUGUCUCUGCCAAAUGACAGGUCUGGGAUUUUGAAAUUUACUCAGGGUUCUUAAUGGUUUUUCCCUGUGUAUGCCAUGGACCCCAUUGGCAGUGUGGUGAAGCCUACAGACCUCUUCUCAGAAUAAUGCCUUAAAUGCAAAAAAUAAAACAUAUAGAAUUACCAAGAGCACCAAUUGCUUUAAAAUAUUAUUCAAGUAUUAGGCCAGGCGUGAUGGCUCACACCUAUAAUCCCAACACUUUGGGAGGCCGAGGUGGACGGAUCACCAGAGGUCAGGAGUUCGAGAUCAGCCUGGCCAAUGUGGGAAAACUGUCUCUACUAAAAAUACAAAAAGAAAACGGGCACGGUGAUGCAUAUCUGUAGUCCCAGCUACUCGGGAGGCCAAAGCAAGAGAAUCGCUUGAACCGGGAGAUGGAGGUUGCAGUGAGCCGAGAUCAUGCCGUUGCACUCCAGCCUGGGCGACAGAGAGAGACUCUGCCAAAAAAAAAAAAAAAAAAAAAAAAAUUCAAAUAUUUAAAAUUAAACUUUUUGGCCCAGCACGAUGGCUCACGUCUGUAAUCCCAGCACUUUAGGAGGCCGAAAUGGGCAAAUCCCUUGAGAUCAGGAGUUUGAGACAAGCCUGGCCAUAUGGUGAAACCCCAUCUCUACCAAAAAUACAAAAAAUUAGCGGGGCAUGGUGGUGCAUGCCUGUAGUCCCAGCUACUCAGGAGGUUGAGGCAUGAGAAUCACUGGAACCUGGGAGGUGGAGAUGGCAGUGAGCCGAGAUUGUACCAUGCACUUUAGCCUGGGUGACAGAGCAAGACUCCAUCAAAAACAAAAUUUAAAAAUUUGGAUAUAUGUAUUGGCCGGGCACAGUGGCUCAUACCUGUAAUCCCAGCACUUUGGGAGGCUGAGGUGUGUGGAUGGCUUGAGCUUAGGAGUUCGAGACCAGCCUGGGCAAUAUAGCAAAACCUUGCCUCUACAAAAAAAUACAAAAAUUAGCCAGGCAUGGUGGCACAUGUGCCUGUAGUCCCAGCUACUUGGGAGGCUGAGGUGGAAGGAUUGCUUGAGCCUGGGAGGUGGAAGUUGCAGUGAACCGAGACUGCACCACUGCACUCCAGCCUUGUCGGCAGACAGAGACCCUGCCUCAAAAAAAAAAAAAUGUAUUUAUUAACUCACUAACUCACAUGAUCUAACAUCAGGCCUAACAACAACUGAAAUUUUGACAUAAUGAAUGAUAUAAAUGUUCUUCUAUUCAUAACUAGAAGAAGAUGAAAUUAUCUGGAUUUCUAUUGGUGACAAAGUUAUAGUACUAUUAACACCACGGCUUGCUGUCUGUAAUUUAUGAUGAAUGGGAAUGCUCAAUUUCAGUUAAAGGCUUGUGACAAUAAAGAUGUAAACUUUUCCCCACACAAGUUAGGAAUCGUGGCUAUAUAACAAAACAGUGACUGGAUUUCCACCUUCCCAUCCAGUAAUGAUGCUGAAAUGUCCUGGUGGGGGUAAGUAAGGCCUUAGGGGAGGCAGGGUCCAUUGGGGGCUCGCCAGCCUGGCAGCCUAGAUGGGAGGGUGAUGUUGGACAAGGUGGCCCCAGGGCAGGAUUGGCCUGAUGUCCUGACAUUCCAAAGCAAGCUUGCAUCUGCCCAUAAAAACAUCAUCCUAGAAGGUGGUCCUGAAACCACAUGUCCUUCCAAAGCACCCUGUUACCUCCUCUAUGACAUCUAGAUGGCAUUGCAUAGCCAUGUGUCUGUCACAUGCUGUGCUCUGAGCUGAGUCUCCUCAGGGAGCGAUGAAGGGUUCUGCAGCUGUGGGAAAACAAGUCUUGUCACUGUGGGACCCUUAGUUUUCCACAAUGCCAGAGACUUCUGUAAAUACUGGGCUCAAGUGAGGUCAGUCCUCAAAGCAAACUCAAGAGCAAGAAGAGGAUGGCCCAGGUGGGGGUCAGUGUGCGACUGUCAGUUAUCUCAAUCCCACCAAUCUCUACAGUGGCAGUCACCUACAGACCCAGAUGGACUUCCUCAAGGAGGUGAAGCCCAGGGAGGAAGGGAAGGCGGGCUUCAGCCAGGAAGAAUGGCACCUGCAAUGAUGGAGAGGCCUGAAAGAGCAUGGCUCACUGUGCAAACCCUGCAGGGAGCCUGCAGUGGCUGGAGAUACAGGGUGGGUGGGAGAGAGACUGGAGAGGGAAGUCCUGGAAAUGAAGCCAAGGGGACAGAGCUUUAACCAAGAGGCUUUCAUAAACCAGUUCUGAUGUUUGUUUUUGUUGUUGUUGUUUUGUUUUGUUUUGUUUUUGAUGGAGUCUAGCUCUGUUGCCCAGGCUGGAGUGUGAUGGUGCAAUCUCAGCUCACUCCAACCUCUGCCUCCCCGGUUCAAGCGAUUCUCCUGCCUCAGCCUCCCGAGUAGCUGUAGGAAUAGUGAGAAAGAAAAUGAGAGGAGGUAUUUCAGUAGCAGCAUUGACACUGGGAACCCAUUAGUAACAGCUGUCAUGUGAUGAGUGCUUACCAUGCACCAUGUAGGGUGAUCACUUAACCUCUCCAACAGCCUGUUCUUAUGCCCAAUCUACAUGUAGGAAAACUGAUGCACAGAAGGGUGAAAGGAUGUGUCCAGAGUCACUACUCAUAAGCAGAGGAUCUGCCAUUCAACCCGCUCAACUCCUGAUUGAGCACUGUUCUCCUUGAGUUAGCUCUUCCAGGCACCAUCAACCUUCACAACAGAAGUCUGAGAUCCCUGAUUCCAAGCUCGGAUUUCAGAGUUGGUAACCCUGAGAUGCCUGUGGGGCAUCAGGGUUGGCUGGAACCUUGGAGAACACUGACACUCAGGAAGGAGAGUGCUGCCCCAGCAGUCAAGAGAAGCCAAGAGCUUUACGGAUUCUACAGGGGAUGAAAAGUGUUGGCAUAGCCGAAAGCAGCAGGGAGGUCUAGCAAAAUAAGGACUGGAAACACAGCAUGGGAAAGGCCCUGCUAAAUUUCACCCCAGCACUUUUAGGAGUGGAGGAAAAGCAGAGUUUGGAUUACCAUGACAUGAGAAGGGAAGGUGAGGUUGGGAGUGGAAACUUGGAUUCUGGAAAAUUUCAUGAAGCUUGGCUGUGAAGGAAGGGAGAUUGGAUCGCAAGGUCUAGAGAAGUAUUUAUGGUUGUCAUUUGUUUUUGUUUUUGUUUUAAACACUGGAAAACACAACCAUGCUUACAGCCUGAGGGACAGGAGGAAGACAAGAGAACCCAAGGAAUGCACUUCCUGAAUUGAUGGGAGGCCCUGGAUCCAGAGCGGGUGGGAACACAUCUGGAAGGAAGACAGAGGGAAUGAAGCAAAAAUGGGCAAAGGUAAACCAUCUAACUAGAGGGCCAAAAAGUGGAGUGAGCUCCCACCUGAUAGCCUCUAUUUACUCGGUGCAGUAAGAUGGAGAUCACGUAGGGAGGAGAGCUAGAUGUUAAAAUUUCAAGAAUUCUAUGAGUAGGUUGCUAAAAACAGACAUUAAAAUAGUGACCAUGGUGUCUGGAAAUGGUAGCUCAUGCCUGCAAUCUUAGGACUUUGGGAGGCCGAGUGGGAGGAUCACUUGAGGCCAGGACUUAGAGACCAGGCUGAUCAACAUAGUUAGACCCCUAUCUCUAAAAAGAAAAAUUUUUUAAGUAAAAAAAGAAAAAAAAAUUGUGGCCAUGAUGAGAACAUUUACAUCACAGAAAUCAACACCCCCCCCGUCCUUUUUUUUUUUUUUUUUUUUUUUUUUUGAGAGCCAGUCCAUCAGUGUACCACUAGGUAAGGGACUUGAAUAAAAAGAGGGCUUCAAAAGGGGAUGUGCAGAAUGAGGGAUGCAGUGGAGGAGGACCAUGAAGAAUGAGCUGGCAUCAACAAGGAAUCCUGGAAGCACAAGUCCUCCCCCAGCAGUGCUCCACAGUCUGGGUGCAAAGACAGAUGGCCGGAUGGAGCUGAAACCUAGGAGUCUGCAGGAUGGAUGUGGUGGAAGCAAGGGGCCAAGGAACUGAGAUUUGGCCAGCCAGGGGUUUAGGAGAGGAGCCCUGGAAUCCAGCUGGGAUAAGGAAAGAAAUGAGGCCAAGAAGAGGGCCAAUAAAUUGGGAGAAAUGGGGGCUGAAGAGACUGGAGGUCUUAGGAAUCACAGGAGGAACAAGAGGUAAAGAAUAUUGCAAUUUUAGCUUUUAGAGUUAGGGCAGCUUCAGAUAGUGACAAUAUUAAGGCUGUGGCCAUGGAUGUGGGCAUCCAAAGCUCAGCUGGGGGAGAGAGUUAUGGAACGGAUCUCUGUACAUGCAGUGUCUGUAGCUGUAAGGCCUUGGUGUUGGAUGGGUUGGCCAAGGGGUCAUCUGCAGUUGUCUAGAAGUGGGGCAGGUCUUGAGAUAGGAUGGAGCUGGUGAUGGAUGUGUAACUCUGAGAGGCCGAGUGAUUUGUCUAAGGUCACACCAUCUGCAAAUGCCUGGAACUCAGGCACCCUCACCUCCAGGCCUCAUCUCAGCAAGAUGGGGCCCCCUGCCCUGUGAUUUUCUGAUUUCAACUCUAUCUAGCUCUCAGCUCUUCCACUCAGGGAUGAGAACAAGACCAGGAACAAAACGUCCUUCCACUCUGAGCAUCUUUUGUGGAGAACAAUCUGUUUUUCAAAUUCUCCUUUUCAUUAUUUCCCUCCACUGAACUUAGAAAAGAUUCUGCAAAAGAUCAUGGUGUUAUUGCUGAAUCUGGGGAGGGAGGAGGACAUUAUAAUGGUGCUUUGGUUAUUUUUUUAUGGUGAGUCCUUUAAAGACCUAUACUGAAAUAUUUACAGAUGAAAUGCUAUACUGUCUGGGAUUUACUUCCAAAUAAUCCAGGCCUGGGUGGGGAUGGGGGAGAGGCAUGCGUGGAUAUUUAGAGCAAAGAGGAUGGGCUGACAGUUGCUAAUUGCUGAAGCUGGGUGAUGAGCACACGGGGGUGCAUUCAGCAAUUCUCUCUACUUUUGUGUGCAUGGUUUGAAAUGUUCCAUAACAAAAGCUGGCUGUCUGGCGGGGUUGUCAGCAGAAAGCAGCAGCCAUGGUGGGCUGCAGGCAUCCAUGUAAAAUAUUCAGAGAGAGAGAGGCCACUGGGGGCUAUGCUCCAUCCUGGCCCCACAUUCUGAGAAGGCCCUUGAGAGGCAGGAGCAGGUCUAGAGAAGGCUAUGGGAAGGGACUCCUUUUUUUUUUUUUUACAGGGUCUCACUCUGUCACCCAGGCUGAAGUGCAGUGGCACGAUCAUGGCUCACUGCAACCUCUGCUUCCCAGGUUCAAGUAAUUCUCCCACCUCAGCCUCCAGAAUAGCUGAAACUAUAGGCACACAUUACUGAGCCUGGCUAAGUUUUGUAUUUUUUGUAGAGAUGGGGUUUCACUAUGUUGCCCAGGCUAAGCUCGAAUUCCUGGGCUCAAGUGAUCCGCCCGCCUCAGCCUCCCAAACUGCUGGGAUUAUAGGCAUGAGCCACCGCACCCAGUCUGGGACUCCAAAUUUUAACUCAAUUGUCUCAGCUGAAACUGGGCUGCUCGGCUUGGAGAGGAAAAGCUCUGAGGAGGCCCGAAGAGCUGUUCUCACCCACAGAGUGGCCGACCUGGGAGAGGGCCUGUCAUCAUGAGUCUGUGGAUACACACACCCCCUGCUGGCUCUGUCCAGAGGCCUUUGGCCAAGCCUUUCCCCGGAGGCUCACCUGCCCUCUCCCAGACCCUAGCCACUCUCCCCUCACACACCUCCCCCAAGCUCAGACCAGGAGGACGCAGUGUGACCCUGCCAGCCAAGUGGGAGUCUGGCUGCUUUGGAAGUCAGGAGCAACCAGAGCCUGCUCCUCUCCACUGGCCUAAAACACCCUGUUCUCUACGUGUCUGUGACAAGGUCUAACUUGGCUCCAAAACCCCUCCAGGGAAAAGGCUGGGCUGAGGUCACUCCCCACAUGGCUCAGCACUAAUCCUUCACAUCUGGACACAAUUGUGCUCUGUGCACCCUGGAGCAACUGUCCAUGAGGUCAUCAAGGCCUCCACGGAGUGCAUCUGAGAGAACAAGCUUGGAGCAGGGCCUAACAUUGUACUGCCUGCUCCCUCUGCACCAGAGUCCUCACCAUGGCGCUGACUUGAACGCAUCAUGGCAGAAAACAUGCUGGAGACCCCUGUUCUCAGCCUGGUUCAGCCACUAAUGAUUGUGGGAUUGUGAGACAGUUCCUUCUCCUCCCUGAGCCUCUGCUGCCUCCUCCAUAAAAUGGGGGUAGGGUAGGCUUGAGGCCCUGAAUCCCCCAUGUAGCUCAUCCUUAAUUCUUCUCUGUCUUUCAGAAGCUGCAGAGAGGCCUCAAAAAUUAGCUACAGGGGCUGGGCUCAGUAGUUCACAUCUGUAAUCCCAGAGCUUUAGGAGGCUGAGGCAGGAGGAUCGCUUGAAAAGAAGUUUGAGGACACCCUGGGCAACAUAGUGAGACUCUGUUUCUACAAAAAAAAAAAAUUAAAAAAUUAGCCAGGAUUGGUGGCUUAUGCUUAUAAUCUCAGGUAUUUGGAAAGCUGAGGUGGGAGAAUCGCUUGAGCUCAGGAGUUUGAGACUACAGUCAGCUACGAUUGCACCACUGCACUCCAGCCUGGGCAACAGAGAAAAACCCUGUCUUGUAUUAAAAAAAAAAAAAAAAAAUUAGUAGACACGCACAUGCACCCACGGGGCUGUCAGUGGCUCAGACAAGGGGAGUGGAAAGGCUGAAGGAUUAUGAUGAUUAACCCUGAGCAGCCAAGGCUGUGGCUCCACAGGGCUCCCUUCCUUCUUUUCUUCCCGCUCUCCCAGGCACCGCCAGUUGGGAAAUGGACCUCCUUGGAUGCUGCAUUGUUUUCUCUGGCCCAGCUCCUGCUUGGGGCCUGAUGUACACCCUGGAUGGUGGCUACAGGUGGGGCACCCUGUGCUGGUGAGUACAGGCUGCUGUGGAGCCCAGAAGCCCCAGGGGACGGCUGGGCUGGGCUGGCUGCCCCAGUUAAAGAGACGUGGCCCCUGGGUCCCAUCCUUUGAGGCAGAAGUACCGCUCCAUCUACUUCCAGGCCUUAUGGGGAGACCUUUUGUAUCUGGACCCAAACAGUAAGAAAGUGCCACAACGCAGAUGAUUUCUGCGUGCUCGGUGAUGAGAAAUGUUUUCUCAGUGGCAUCUGUGAAAGGUGCUGCUGUAUCUUCCGAAUUGUCAAAAUCACACUCUGCUUUGAAAAACAACCCUGACCACCUGGGGGUUAAUUAUAUUUGACCACAUUCAAUACAAUACAAUAAUAAAUUUACCACAUCCAAUAUUUGUAUUAAAAUGUAUGAUUCAUUCAAAAUGAUCCAUGGGUUUUGAUUAUUUUUGAAAGCAGCAGAACACUAUUCUUCAAGUGUUUCUAUAAAAAACUCCAAAAUGCGGGCCGGGUGUGGUGGCUCAUGGUCUAAAAAGCCAUCAGGGAUAAAGGUUUCUCUGAGUGCUGCUAAAAGAAACCAAGACUGGGGCCCAGUGUGGUGGCUCAUGCCUGUAAUCUCAGCACUUUGGGAGGCCAAGGCAGGCUGAUCACUUGAUGUCAGGAGUUCAAGACAAGCCUGGCCAACAUGGAGAAACCCCCCUGCCCCCGUGUCUACUAAAAAAUGCAAAAAUUAGCCAGGUGUGGUGGUGCACACCUGUAAUCCCAGCACACUGGGAGGCCGAGGCAGGUGGAUCACUUGAACCCAGGAGUUCGAGACCAGCCCGGCCAACAUGGUGAAACCCUGUCUCUACUAAACACACCAAAAUUAGUCAGGUGUGGUGGCAUGUGUCUGUAGUCCUAGCUGCUCGGGAGGCUGAGGCAGAAGAAUCACUUGAACCCGGGAGGCAGAGUCUGCAGUGAGGCGAGAUUGCACCACUGCAUUCUAGCAUGGGUGACAGAAUGAGAGCCUGUCUGAAAAAAAAAAAAAAGAAAACAUACAAUGCCUGGAUUUCCUUUAAAAUAAUCCAGGGAAGGGAGAAAGGGUGGAGACUAUAGAUAAGAAAAAACUGCCCAUGAACUGAUACUUGUUGAAGCAGAGUUAAUAGUACAUUAUAUCAUUCUUUCAUAUACUAUUAUUUUGUAUUUUUUGUAUCCAAAAGUUUUCAUAAUAAAGAGUUAAGAUAUAUCAUCUAAAAUCUGAAAGAAUAUGCACAAAAAUGUAGGAAGUCAAUGUGAAAUUACACUAACACAUGAAUACUUUCCUCCUUUUCUUCUUCAUUUUUUUUUUUUAGACGGAGUCUUGCUUUGUCACCCAGGCUGGAGUGUGGUGGCUUGAUCUCGGCUCACUGCAAGCUCCGCCUCCCAGGUUCAAGUGAUUCUCCUGCCUCAGCCUCCCAAGUAUCUGGGACUACAGGCUUGUGCCACCAGGUCUGGCUAAUUUUUUGUAUUUUUAGUAGAGACAGGGUUUCACUGUGUUAGCCAGGCUGAUCUCCAUCUCCUGACCUUGUGAUCUGCCCGCCUCGGCCUCCCAAACUCCUUUUCUUCUUUAUCUGUAGCAAUGAGCAUGCAUAAUCAGAAAGAAAAAUAACGUUUAAAAGUGGGUUUAAAGUCUCUGUACAAGUUGUGGCUAAAAGGGGCACCAAAAGUAGCCACUUGUGGGCAGGCUGCUCCCUCCUCCCUCCGGGAGAAACACAGGUGCUGCUUUGUGCCCUUAGCUCCUGGAGCCUGGGGCUGAGCUGGGAGGGAGUAAAGGGGAGGGGGGUGGCAGGGUGUGUACUGGGGCCUGUAUUCUAUGCUGAGCAGAGUCCCAGCCACUCCUCGUGCAGCUUGUGAGGAAGCCAUUGGUGGUCAUCUUUAACAGCUCUGCAUCUCCAUCCAGUCCCCCAUCUCCACCCAAAACAGCUCAGUUCCCCAGAGAAGCUCCCUGGAAACCGGGAGGCUGACUUCUUCACCAACUGCAGAACCACCUGAGGCCACCUGGCAGAAUGCGAUCCAGGACUGCACGUGGCAUUCCGCUGCCGUGUCUCAGUGGGAUCCUUCCAUCCAGAACGGCUCCUCCGUCUUUCUCCUCCUCUCAUAAUUUUGACAGUUUUAAAGCAUCCAGGCUAUUUUUGUCUUUCAUAACCUUGACACUCUUGAAGAGUACUGGCCAAUUAUUUUGUAGAAUGUCCUCCAACUUGAGUUUGUCUAGUGCUUUCUCACAAUGAGAAUGAGGUUUUGUGUUUUUGGUGAGAACACCACAGAAGCAGGUUAUACCCUUCCCCAUGCAUUAUAUCAGGAGGCACAUGUGAUAUUGCUGCAUCCCAUUACUGGAGACGUUAACUUUGAGAGAUGAUGUAGCAAAGAUUUCUCCAUUGUAAAAUCCUAUUUUUCCUUCUGAACUUAAUGAGUAUCUUACAAGGAGCUGUCUUGGAGACUAUGUAAAUAUCUUGUUUAUCAUCAUACUUUCACCAACCAAUUUUGGCAUUCAUUGGUGAUUCUUGUCUGCAAUAUUAAUUACCACUGUGUUUUCCAACAGAUGAUUUUUCUACUUUCAUAAUUCCUUCUCCAUUUAUUAAUUGUAAUUCAGUGGUAAGGAAGAGCUGUCCCUUCUCUCCCAAUUACUUAUGCAAUUAUUUCAGUAUAGACUCAUGGAUAUUUAGUUUAUUCUACCAGUGAUAAUCCAUGACCAACAUCAUUUGUAUCAUUGUUCCAACUGUCCCAGGUAUGGCCAAUGUAAGCAUCUUCAAGUCACCCCUUGUGUUUGUUUGAAAUGCCCUUAUUCUAUUUUGAGCACUUCCUUUCUGACAUAAGAUGUUCCAGGAUUAUUUUAUAAUUUCACUGACCCCACCCUGUACUUAAUCAUUUCUCCAAAGAACUCUGCUUCCUUUAUUGAGGGAAUGUAUUUAGAAUCUAAGAUCUGGGUGCUGGAUGUCCUCAUUGUUACUGAGGUGUCACUGUGUCUAGGGCCUCUCAGCAGACAGAGCUAGGGAAUAUGGGUUACCAACUCUGAAACUAUUUUAUGGGUAUUCUGAGAUUGAGCAAAUAAGUAAAUACAUUGUAUUUAGUGGGAGGGAGGCAUCUCACUGUCAAAGAGAGAACUACAAAUAAAAAGGGAAGGGCAAAGUGAACCCUAUUGUGUUAGAUUAGAAUCAGAGGCAUCAGCAUGAGCUCCUGAUUUUUAGUGUAUGUACAGAUUGACAGAUAUAGAAAUAAAUAUGACCUGGCAAUUCCAUUCCUAGGCAUAUACCUAGCAGAAAUCCAUGGUCAUAAAAAAAAACAUGGACAAGAAUGAUCAUGCUGGGAGUGGUGGCUCACGCCUGUAAUCCCAACACUUUGGGAGGCUGAGGCAAGCAGAUUGCUUGAGUCCAGGAGUUUGAGACCAGCCUGGGCAACAUGGCGAAACCCUGUCUCCACUAAAAAUACAAAAAUUAGCUGGGUGUGGUGGUGCAUGCCUGUAGUUCCAGCUACUUGAGAGGCUGAGGUAGGAGGAUGGCUUGAGCCUGGGAGUCAGAGACUGAAGGGAGCCAAGAUUGUACCACUGCACUCCAACCUGGGGAACAGAGUGAGACCCUGAAGAAAGAAAGAGAGAAAGAGAGAAAGAGAAAAGAAAGAAGAAAGAAAGGAAGAAAGAAAGAAAGAAAGAAAGAGAAAGAAAGAAAAAAAGAGAGAAAGAGGAAGAAAAAAAAAGAAUGAUCAUAGGAUCAUAGCUGCACUAUUAUCAUAGUCCUAAGCUGUAAACCACGCAAAUUCCCGUUGACACCAGACUAAAGAAUGAAUGACCGACCACUACAUGCAACAUUAUGGAUGAAAAUACAAUUGCGGAAAGACAUUUUCUCAAAAAAUGCUGUGUGAUACCAUUUAUAUAAAGCACAAACCAGGCAAAUUAAUCCAUGUCACAAGAACUCAGUAUCAAUUUUCUGCAAGAGAAACGAGGGGGUUUCUGAGCUGCUGGUAGUGUUCUGUCAUUUGGUCUGGGUGCUGGUUGCAUUGGUGUGUCUAAUUCUUAAAAUGUAUAUACAUUAUUCAUCAGUAAAAAGUUUUUUAAAAUAU
rnacentral:lncRNA from 1 species